rnacentral:rRNA from 1 species
CCCUUAGAUGUUCUGGGCCGCACGCGCGCUACACUGAUGCAUUCAACGAGUCUAAAACCUGGUCUGAUAGGGCUGGGUAUCUUUUGAAUGUGCAUCGUGAUUGGGAUAGAUGAUUGCAAUUCUUCAUCUUCAACGAGGAAUGCCUAGUAAACGCAAGUCAUCAGCUUGCAUUGAUUACGUCCCUGCCCUUUGUACACACCGCCCGUCGCUCCUACCGAUUGAAUGUUCCGAUGAAUACCAUGGACUGAGAGUAUGAAUGGGUUCGCUUAUUUCUGCUUCUCGGGAAGUGGAGUAAAUCUUAACAUUUAGAGGAAGGAGAAGUCGUAACA